UUACGGUCAUGUCACGUUGAAACACCAGUUCUCGUACAAUCACCGAAGUUAAACAACGUCGAGCUUGGUUAGUACCUAGAUGGGUAACUUGGGAAUGCCAGGUGCUGUAAG